AGGAAAAUAGAAGCACUUUAUCCGUCACUCCCCAGCAAAUGCUGCAUGUGGGACUAAGUUGGAAAGGGACUGAUGUAACAUGCUUCUGGAUAGAGUAAAACACUUCUGCCCUGUAUGGUUGUGUGGUUUGUUCACUGCACAAGAGCACGUGGCCAAGGGGGUAAGUGGGGCUGAUAAUCCUGCCUGCACUCCAUGCCAAGCCACGCACAAAGGUCUCCCCAGUGACAUUGUGGGGCCCUCUUGGACAGACAUGGAGAGCUUCUGGAAUCCAGCACACAUGGAAUUAUUUUCAGGAUCCCAGGUCUGUAGUGAUGUGGCUCACUGUGAUUAUGGACCAAGGUAUGCAUUUCGUCCUAAUAAGACCAGAGAUGUACAUCGUGAGAGACCUAGAACAUGGCAGGAAUCACUAAUUGUCUUGUGUGUGUGUGUGUGUGUGUGUGUGUGUGUGUGUGUGUGUGUGUGUGUGUGUUUCCCCCAAGGCACUUUUUCUGCGGAUGGCGACCACUUUGGCUUAGGGAUAUGUACAGAUCUCUCAAUGCCACACGCCAGAAAAAUAUGGCAGAGAAGCUACACGACAAGGAGUCUUCUGAUGAGGAGGAGAUUUUCCACAAGGAUGCAGGGGAGCUCACGGAAGUUGUGGUGACCACACCGGUGGAGUCAGCUGAAGCACCGGAGGGGGACGAGGAGGAGGAAGCAUAGUGCCCCAGCCUGCCUCAGGCAGCCUGUCAAUAAAUUCUCUAACAUUGGCUUCUCA